AGACACUGACAGGGCUGAGUGUUCUAUCAUGGUAACGUUUGUGUGUCUGUGACUUCAUGGUUCUUUUAAAGCAGUGUUGAAAUCUGUGAAUGAAAUGGUUAAACCUGGUGUGGAUGUAUUUGUGGUGACACACACACACACACACACACACUGACUGUUGCCACAACGUGUGUGUGUUGUUUUCGUCUGGCUUCCUCUCCAUUGUCUGCCUUCACUGCUACUAUCACUUCUGCAGAGACCAGAGUUCUGGUUGGUCUGAUGCUGAGCCACUCACUUUAACUGCAGAUUUAAGAUUUUUUAAAAUAUAUAUAUUUUUUAGGAUUUUGUACAAGCUUUUCUUCUCCCUGGUCGACUUUGUCUGCUGCUGCUGUCAGGCCUCAGCUGAUUCAUUGACUUCAAUGGUUAAUUAAAGCCCCGUCGACUGGAGGGGGCAGCGACGAGCGACGGGAAACCGACCCUAGAAUGGUUCUGAUGGUUCUACCCCUUCUUCCUGUUCAAAUCGAAAAGUCCGCCCUGACCUGUGGAACAGUCUGGUAGGAAAACGUCCUGACUCUCUGACCUUAUCGUCACUGGACCAGUCCUGGGCCUUUGAUGUGGCUGCUGUGUUUGUUCACCAGCGCCAGUGGUCUGCUCUGUCCAUUCAACAAGCUGCCACUUACUAAAUCCCUCAGUGUGGACGGCAGCAGCAGCAGCAGCAGCAGCAGCAGCAGCAUUGUUGGUGUUUUACACCCGCAGACGUCUCAUCGGAGUCGGCGUGUGGACGGAGAAAUGUUCAGACGAGCUACAGGUGACGCCGCUAACACAACGUCCCAGCAGCUGCUGCCGUUGGGAGGGCUCUUCAAACCAUUGUUUAUGGAUUUGCAAUGGAGGUCCCGGGAGCUAACGCUGUGUGGAGGGCCUUGACUGUUUUGGCUGCAGCGCCCCCUGUGACUCUGGAAGGAUUAAGAGUAAAGUCUCAUCAGGAGCAGCUUCAUGUCGGAGAACAAAUGGUCUGACGUCUCUAUGUAGCACCUUCACUCCCACCAUAUGGUUCCCGAGGGCAGUUGACAGUUGUUCUGCCACUCAAACUGUAAAGAAUGAGGAUCAGACAUGUGAGCGACCACACACACCCACCUCAUACAGCAGAAGUCUUCAACAGGCGGUCCGCGACUCCUAGAGGGAUCACGGAGAUACUGCAGGAGGUCCUGGAAUUUAUUUGAGAGCAACGUGUUAAUAGAAAUCAACAGGCGUUGAAAACCUGCCGUUUCCUGCUGCAGAGA